rnacentral:ncRNA from 1 species
GACUACAGGUUAGAUCCACUAAACUCUUAGAGAAAUUAUAUUAAUAAACGAAGUGAAUUGAAAUAUCUUAGUAACUUCAGGAAAAGAAAUCAAACGAGAUUCUAUGAUUAGUGUGAAUGAAAGUAGAAAAGCCUAAUAAUUAAGCAAGUAAAAUGGAUUAAUCUGUUUGAAUAUAGGGGAACCUUCCUCUAAGGCUAAAUAUGAUAUAUAAGCGAUAGUGAACUAGUACCGUGAGGGAAAUAUCCUGAAAUAGUAGUUUUAUAAGCAGCUCAAGUUAAGUUAAAAAAAAACGAGAGCGUACCUUUUGUAUAAUGGGUCAGCAAGUUAAUAUUAGAUGCGAGCAUAGCACUAUGCCUAGAUAAACCGAUUAUGAAAAAAUGAUAAGUAUCUAAUAUUAGACCCGAAGCCUAGUGAUCUUACCAUGAUCAGGUUUAUAAAAGACCGAACGGGUUAUCGUUGUAAAGAUAUCCGAAGAAUCGUGGUAAGUUAGUGAAAGACAAUACUGACUAGGAUAGCUGGUUUUCCGCGAAACCUAUAUAAGUAGGUAAUUCAAGUAACAUCUUAGCAGGUACAGAACUGUGAUCUCAGGCAAAAUUAUAUUAUUUUGGGUUUCUAAGAUAAUAGUUUUGCAUACAUCGGGGGAUCGUGAAGAUUUUAUUGGUGAGUAUUUGCUCUCGGAAGGGCAAAGAUGAAUAUUGAAUAAUCAGACAUAGUACGAUAAGGUUGUAUGUCAAAAGGGAAACAGCCCAGAACAAGUGUUUAAGGUUCCAAAAUUAUUGUUAAGUGAAAUUAAGGAAGUAUUUUUCAUAUACAACCAGGAAAUGGGCUUAGAAGCGGCCAUUUUUUGAAGACCUCGUAACAGAGCACUGGUUCAACUAUAAAUUAAUGCAAAUUAAUUUAUACAAGUUAAAAGCGCCGAAAAUAUACCGGAUCUAAAACAAUAUACCGACACCUUGUCCAUAUUUAUUAAUAUUAAAUAAUAAAACAUUACCCUCCUCCAACACUUCUUAUAAAUAAGUGUUGGAGGAAAUAACCCUCUUAUGGGAUGGGCAAGUUUUUUUUUUGUAUUGUAUUUAUGGGGUAGCGGAACGUUGGGUAAAUCUUAGAUUUUUACUUUUUAAGUAAAAAAAAUAAGGGACGGACUUAAGGACCCGAUCCUUGUAAGAUACCCCAAGUGAGAAUGCUGACAUGAGUAACGAAAAAGGGGAAUACCCUCGCCUUAAGCUUAUGGAAUUUUUCUUAAAAGUAACGGCCUCUAAGUUUAUAGACCUGCCCUAAAGGACUAAACGAUGAGAAAAUCUAUCUUACGGGGAGAUUAACCUUAAGGCUAAACCGUUUGGGAAGAAAGAAUAAAGCAGUGUUCUUCUUUAAGAAUCAGUUAGGCCAUUAGAGUAUUAAGUGUUCUGGAAAAAUCGUAAGAGUACUAUGGGUGGUAUGUCGGCUGCUACUUUUGCAAGUUUUCCUUUUUUUUUUGUACUUUUACAAACUUGUAAAAGUACAAAAAAAAAUACGGAGACCUUGCAAAUCCCGCGUACCGCUCUUUCAUGCUUUUUCAUUUAUAUAUAUAUAUAUAUAUAAAGGGGGCUUGUCAAAAAGUAGCACCAUGCCACCGUACCUAGAAACUACCACCAGUAAGCGAGUAGAGAAUACGAAGGCGCUUGAGCUAACAAUCAUUAAGGAACUCGGCAAAUUGACUCCGUAACUGAGGGAUAAGGAGUGCCAUUCUAACUGAUUAAUAUCAGGUUUAGAAGAGGAGGCACAGAAUGGUGUUGUACGACUGUUUAAUUAAAACACAGCACUUUGCGUAAGAUGACAAAUCGAAGUAUAAAGUGUGCCGUCUGCCCGAUGAUGGAUGGUUAACGAAUUUAUUUAGCUGACUAAAAUAGGCUAGGUUUUGAAGGAACCCCCAUUCAAUGGCGGCCUUAUCUAUAAGGGUCCUAAGGUAGCGGAAUACCUUGGCCGUUAAAUGCGGUCUUUGCAUGAAUGAUAAAACGAUACAACAGCUGUCUCAAUGAUUGGCUCAGUGAAAUUG